ACAGAGAUUGCGAAGAUUUUCAAAGUGGGGCACCUCGAUUUCUCGAAUCUGUGGUGUGGCGAAUAUCCGUGUUCCUCCUGCUUAACUAGCCUGUUUGCAAAACAAAUGCAAUGGCGGGGGGCAGGAAUAACUAAUCUAAUACAGGUCUGGUAUUUCAUGAUUUGAGCAGUACUAUGCUAGACUGAGAUGUCAUUCAAAUUCCUGCCAUUUCUCUAACUUGUAUUCUCUGGCAAAAUGAAGGUCUGAUUCUAUUUAUUCUAAAGACAGAGUUGGAGAUGGGCUACCAUUGGUGUUGAUUGAGAUGACAAGCAGUCACCUGAGCCCAUACAGCUGUCUCAUCUUCUGACUUACUAAAACUCCUUCCUUUUUCUUUUAUUCUCUUUGAAUCUGUAUUUCCAUGUUGUACUGAUUCAGUGGGAGAAAGUGCUUGCUGCCAAGCUUGAUGACCUAAAUUGAAUACCUGGAACCUACACGACAGAAAGAGAGAGCUGACUGCUGAAAGAUGUCCUCAGAUCUUCACAUGUGCACAGUGGCACCUAUCCAACCAUGCACAUAGUAUAUUAAAAAUUAUUUUU
rnacentral:lncRNA from 1 species